GCACAAGCGGCGAGCAUGCGGAUAAUUCGAUGCAAACGCGAAGAACCUUACCAAGGCUUGACAUACACCGGUAACGCCCAGAGAUGGGUGCCCCUUUGUGGUCGGUGGACAGGUGGUGCAUGGGUUGUCGUCAGCUCGUGUCGUGAGAUGUUGGGUUAAGUCCCGCAACGAGCGCAACCCUCGUCCUAUGUUGCCAGCGGGUCAUGCCGGAGACUCAUGGGAGACUGCCGGGGUCAACUCGGAGAAGUGGGGAUGACGUCAAAUCAUCAUGCCCCUUAUGUCUUGGGCUUCACGCAUGCUACAAUGGCCGGUACAAAGGGCUGCGAUACCGCGAGGUGGAGCGAAUCCCAGAAAGCCGGUCUCAGUUCGGAUUGGGGUCUGCAACUCGACCCCAUGAAGUCGGAGUCGCUAGUAAUCGCAGAUCAGCAACGCUGCGGUGAAUACGUUCCCGGGCCUU
rnacentral:rRNA from 1 species